rnacentral:rRNA from 1 species
UUUCGGACCUAGAGACCGGCGCACGGGUGCGUAACGCGUAUGCAAUCUACCUUUCACAAAGGGAUAGCCCAGAGAAAUUUGGAUUAAUACCUUAUAGUAAUACGACUUGGCAUCAAGAUGUAUUUAAAGAUUUAUCGGUGAAAGAUGAGCAUGCGUCCCAUUAGCUAGUUGGUAAGGUAACGGCCUACCAAGGCUACGAUGGGUAGGGGUCCUGAGAGGGAGAUCCCCCACACUGGUACUGAGACACGGACCAGACUCCUACGGGAGGCAGCAGUGAGGAAUAUUGGGCAAUGGGCGGAAGCCUGACCCAGCCAUGCCGCGUGCAGGAUGACGGUCCUAUGGAUUGUAAACUGCUUUUGCACAGGAAGAAACACUACUUCGUGAAGUAGCUUGACGGUACUGUGAGAAUAAGGAUCGGCUAACUCCGUGCCAGCAGCCGCGGUAAUACGGAGGAUCCAAGCGUUAUCCGGAAUCAUUGGGUUUAAAGGGUCCGUAGGCGGUUUAGUAAGUCAGUGGUGAAAGCCCAUCGCUCAACGGUGGAACGGCCAUUGAUACUGCUAAACUUGAAUUAUUAGGAAGUAACUAGAAUAUGUAGUGUAGCGGUGAAAUGCUUAGAGAUUACAUGGAAUACCAAUUGCGAAGGCAGGUUACUACUAAUGGAUUGACGCUGAUGGACGAAAGCGUGGGUAGCGAACAGGAUUAGAUACCCUGGUAGUCCACGCCGUAAACGAUGGAUACUAGCUGUUGUGAGCAAUCUCAGUGGCUAAGCGAAAGUGAUAAGUAUCCCACCUGGGGAGUACGUUCGCAAGAAUGAAACUCAAAGGAAUUGACGGGGGCCCGCACAAGCGGUGGAGCAUGUGGUUUAAUUCGAUGAUACGCGAGGAACCUUACAAGGCUAAAUGUAGUUUGACCGUUUUGGAAACAGAACUUUCGCAGACAAAUUACACGUGCUGCAUGGUUGUCGUCAGCUCG